rnacentral:lncRNA from 1 species
CAAAGGUAGUUUUAAACGAACUAAAAUUGAAAUUAGAUACAAGAACAAAAGAGGGGUUGAAGAAGGUUAAGAGCUUGAAAAUAAGAAAUCAAUCCUAUGUCAUGAAAAAAUCAUGAACUUUUCAGUGGAUUUUUCCCAGAAUAACGGCGAUGGUGGCGGGGUCUCGCCGACUGUUUUCAUCGAUUGUAUGUCUGGUCAGAGAGAAGAGAAAAGAGAGGACGGAGGGGGAUGAAUCGUGGCUUAGUGGAGGCGGUAGAUCUGGGGGACGAUGCUGGAGUGGUGGCUCCGAUCGGCGGUGGGAGGUUGGUCGUUGCUGGCAGCGGUGAAGACGGACGGCGGGACGCGGGGAAAGAGGUUGUCGUUGCUGGUUUAUCAGAGGAGGCACUAGAGGCGAAGGAGGUCGGCGAUUCUUAGUCAUGGUUGGUAUCCGAUGUGGACGGUGUUCGACAACCAUGACUGUCUUCCUUUGAGCGAGAGAGAGAACAUUUGAGGAAGGGAGGCGGAAGAGAGAGAAAGAGGCUUGUUG